GAGGUUGUAGCUCAGUGGUAGAGUGCUUGCCUUGCAUGCAUAAGGCCCUGGGUUCAAUUCUCAGCACCACA
rnacentral:tRNA from 1 species